UACGGGAGGCAGCAGUGGGGAAUAUUGGACAAUGGGCGCAAGCCUGAUCCAGCAAUGCCGCGUGUGUGAAGAAGGUCUUCGGAUUGUAAAGCACUUUCGACGGGGACGAUGAUGACGGUACCCGUAGAAGAAGCCCCGGCUAACUUCGUGCCAGCAGCCGCGGUAAUACGAAGGGGGCUAGCGUUGCUCGGAAUGACUGGGCGUAAAGGGCGCGUAGGCGGUUUGGACAGUCAGAUGUGAAAUUCCUGGGCUUAACCUGGGGGCUGCAUUUGAUACGUAUAGACUAGAGUGUGAGAGAGGGUUGUGGAAUUCCCAGUGUAGAGGUGAAAUUCGUAGAUAUUGGGAAGAACACCGGUGGCGAAGGCGGCAACCUGGCUCAUAACUGACGCUGAGGCGCGAAAGCGUGGGGAGCAAACAGGAUUAGAUACCCUGGUAGUCCACGCUGUAAACGAUGUGUGCUGGAUGUUGGGUGGCUUAGCCACUCAGUGUCGUAGUUAACGCGAUAAGCACACCGCCUGGGGAGUACGGCCGCAAGGUUGAAACUUAAAGGAAUUGACGG
rnacentral:rRNA from 1 species